AGGGGUAUAGUUCAGUUGGUAGAACGCAGGUCUCCAAAACCUGAUGUCGAGGGUUCAAGUCCUUCUGCCCCUG
rnacentral:tRNA from 1 species